rnacentral:rRNA from 1 species
GAUGAACGCUGGCGGCGUGCCUAAUACAUGCAAGUCGAGCGGACAGACGCGGAGCUUGCUCCUCUGACGUUAGCGGCGGACGGGUGAGUAACACGUGGAUCCCCUACCUAUCAGACUGGGAAAACUUCGGGAAACCGGCUCAAAUACCGGAUGAUCUCUUGAACCGCAUGGUUCAAUAGUGAAAUACGGUUUUGCUGUCACUUAUAGAUGGAUCCGCGCCGCAUUAGCUAGUUGGUAAGGUAACGGCUUACCAAGGGGACGAUGCGUAACCGACGUGCGAGGGUGAUCGGCCGCACGGGAACUGAGACACGGUCCAUGCGCCUACGGGAGGCAGCAGUAGGGAAUCGUACGCAAUGGGCGAGAGCCUGACGGAGCAACGCCGAGUGAGUGAUGAAGGUCUUCGGAGCGUAAAACCCGGUUAUUAGGUAAGAACAGAUGUGUAAGGAAAUGAGCACGGCUUGACGGUACUUAAUCAGAAAGCCACGGCUAACUACGUG